rnacentral:rRNA from 1 species
GACGAACGCUGGCGGCGUGCUUAACACAUGCAAGUCGAACGGAAAGGCCCUGCUUUUGUGGGGUGCUCGAGUGGCGAACGGGUGAGUAACACGUGAGUAACCUGCCCUUGACUUUGGGAUAACUUCAGGAAACUGGGGCUAAUACCGGAUAGGAGCUCCUGCUGCAUGGUGGGGGUUGGAAAGUUUCGGCGGUUGGGGAUGGACUCGCGGCUUAUCAGCUUGUUGGUGGGGUAGUGGCUUACCAAGGCUUUGACGGGUAGCCGGCCUGAGAGGGUGACCGGCCACAUUGGGACAGAGAUACGGCCCAGACUCCUACGGGAGGCAGCAGUGGGGAAUAUUGCACAAUGGGCGGAAGCCUGAUGCAGCAACGCCGCGUGCGGGAUGACGGCCUUCGGGUUGUAAACCGCUUUCGCCUGUGACGAAGCGUGAGUGACGGUAAUGGGUAAAGAAGCACCGGCUAACUAAGUG